rnacentral:snRNA from 1 species
GUGCUCGCUUCGGCAGCACAUAUACUAAAACUGGAACGAUACAGAGAAGAUUAGCAUGGCCCCUGUGCAAGGAUGACACACAAAUUCAUGAAGCGUUCCAUAUUUUU